rfam:Lysinibacillus xylanilyticus strain DSM 23493 Scaffold5, whole genome shotgun sequence.
GCCCUCGUGGUGUAAUGGAUAACACGUAAGAUUCCGGUUCUUGCACUGGGGGUUCGAUUCCCUCCGAGGGCG